rnacentral:tRNA from 1 species
GGAGAGGUGGCUGAGCGGCUUAAAGCGCUCCCCUGCUAAGGGAGUAUACCUCCAACGAGGUAUCGAGGGUUCGAAUCCCUCCCUCUCCG